rnacentral:rRNA from 1 species
UGGGGAAUAUUGCACAAUGGGCGCAAGCCUGAUGCAGCCAUGCCGCGUGUGUGAAGAAGGCCUUCGGGUUGUAAAGCACUUUCAGCGGGGAGGAAGGCGUUAAGGUUAAUAACCUUGGCGAUUGACGUUACCCGCAGAAGAAGCACCGGCUAACUCCGUGCCAGCAGCCGCGGUAAUACGGAGGGUGCAAGCGUUAAUCGGAAUUACUGGGCGUAAAGCGCACGCAGGCGGUCUGUCAAGUCGGAUGUGAAAUCCCCGGGCUCAACCUGGGAACUGCAUUCGAAACUGGCAGGCUAGAGUCUUGUAGAGGGGGGUAGAAUUCCAUGUGUAGCGGUGAAAUGCGUAGAGAUGUGGAGGAAUACCGGUGGCGAAGGCGGCCCCCUGAACAAAGACUGACGCUCAGGUGCGAAAGCGUGGGGAGCAAACAGG